GAUGAACGCUGGCGGCGUGCCUAAUACAUGCAAGUCGAGCGAACAGAUAAGGAGCUUGCUCCUUUGACGUUAGCGGCGGACGGGUGAGUUACACGUGGAUAACCUACCUAUAAGACUGGGAUAACUUCGGGAAACCGGAGCUAAUACCGGAUAACAUAUUGAACCGCAUGGUUCAAUAGUGAAAGGCGGCUUUGCUGUCACUUAUAGAUGGAUCCGCGCCGGAUUAGCUAGUUGGUAAGGUAACGGCUUUCCAAGGCAACGAUACGUAGCCGACCUGAGAGGCUGAUCAGCCACACUGGAACUGAGACACGGUCCAGACUCCUACGGGAGGCAGCAGUAGGGAAUCUUCCGCAAUGGGCGAAGGCCUGACGGAGCAACGCCGAGUGAGUGAUGAAGGUCUUCGGAUCGGAAAACUCUGUUAUCAGGGAAGAACAAAUUUGUAAGUAACUGGGCGCAUCUUGACGGUACCUGAUCAGAAAGCCACGGCUAACUUCGUG
rnacentral:rRNA from 1 species